GACGUAGGGAGCGAGCGUUGUCCGGAAUCACUGGGCGUAAAGGGUGCGUAGGCGGGUUUUUAAGUCAGGGGUGAAAUCCUGGAGCUCAACUCCAGAACUGCCUUUGAUACUGAAGAUCUUGAGUUCGGGAGAGGUGAGUGGAACUGCGAGUGUAGAGGUGAAAUUCGUAGAUAUUCGCAAGAACACCAGUGGCGAAGGCGGCUCACUGGCCCGUUACUGACGCUGAGGCACGAAAGCGUGGGGAGCAAACAGGG
rnacentral:rRNA from 1 species